UGGGGAAUCUUGGACAAUGGGGGCAACCCUGAUCCAGCGAUGCCGCGUGAGCGAAGAAGGCCUUAGGGUUGUAAAGCUCUUUCGCCCGCGACGAUGAUGACGGUAGCGGGAGAAGAAGCCCCGGCUAACCCCGUGCCAGCAGCCGCGGUAAUACGGAGGGGGCUAGCGUUGUCCGGAAUUACUGGGCGUAAAGCGCGCGUAGGCGGUCCACCAAGUCGGGGGUGAAAGCCCGGGGCUCAACCCCGGAAUGUCCUCCGAGACUGUUGGAAUGGAGUUCGGGAGAGGAGAGCGGAAUUCCCAGUGUAGAGGUGAAAUUCGUAGAUAUUGGGAAGAACACCGGUGGCGAAGGCGGCUCUCUGGCCCGCAACUGACGCUGAGGCGCGAAAGCGUGGGGAGCAAACA
rnacentral:rRNA from 1 species